GCCCGGGUGGCUCAGUCGGUAAAGUAUCUGACUUCGGCUCAGAUCAUGAUGAUUCGUGAGUUUGAGCCCCGUGUCGGGCU
rnacentral:tRNA from 1 species